rnacentral:ncRNA from 1 species
UGUCUUCAGGGCGGGGUGCAAGUCCCCACUGGCGGUACAGUCCGCGACCGCCUGCCGCACGGCAGGCGCUGAUUCGGUGAAACUCCGGAACCAACAGUUACAGUCUGGAUGGAAGAAGAUG